rnacentral:rRNA from 1 species
AUUGAACGCUGGCGGCAUGCCUUACACAUGCAAGUCGAACGGCAGCACGGGAGCAAUCCUGGUGGCGAGUGGCGAACGGGUGAGUAAUAUAUCGGAACGUGCCCAGUAGUGGGGGAUAACUGAUCGAAAGAGCAGCUAAUACCGCAUACGACCUGAGGGAGAAAGGGGGGGAUCGCAAGACCUCUCGCUAUUGGAGCGGCCGAGAGCAGAUUAGCUAGUUGGUGGGGUAAAGGCCUACCAAGGCAACGAUCUGUAGUUGGUCUGAGAGGACGACCAGCCACACUGGGACUGAGACACGGCCCAGACUCCUACGGGAGGCAGCAGUGGGGAAUUUUGGACAAUGGGCGCAAGCCUGAUCCAGCAAUGCCGCGUGCAGGAAGAAGGCCUUCGGGUUGUAAACUGCUUUUGUCAGGGAAGAAAUCCUCUAGGUUAAUACCCUUGGGGGGAUGACGGUACCUGAAGAAUAAGCACCGGCUAACUACGUGCCAGCCGCCGCGGUAAGAC